rnacentral:rRNA from 1 species
UACAGAGGCCUCGAGCGUUAGGCGGAAUCACUGGGCUUAAAGCGUGUGUAGGCGGACUUCUAAGUACCUUGUGAAAUCCCACGGCUUACCCGUGGAACGGCUGGGUAUACUGGGAGUCUUGAGCCACCUAGGGGCGAGUGGAACAAAUGGUGGAGCGGUGAAAUGCGUAGAUAUCAUUUGGAACGCCAAUGGUGAAAACAGCUCGCUGGGGGUGUGCUGACGCUGAGACACGAAAGCCAGGGGAGCGAACGGG